rnacentral:rRNA from 1 species
UACGUAGGGUGCAGGCGUUAAUCGGAAUUACUGGGCGUAAAGCGUGCGCAGGCGGUCUGUUAAGACCGAUGUGAAAUCCCCGGGCUUAACCUGGGAACUGCAUUGGUGACUGGCAGGCUUUGAGUGUGGCAGAGGGAGGUAGAAUUCCACGUGUAGCAGUGAAAUGCGUAGAGAUGUGGAGGAAUACCGAUGGCGAAGGCAGCCUCCUGGGCCAACACUGACGCUCAUGCACGAAAGCGUGGGGAGCAAACAGG